rnacentral:rRNA from 1 species
AUUGAACGCUGGCGGAAUGCUUUACACAUGCAAGUCGAACGGCAGCACGGACUUCGGUCUGGUGGCGAGUGGCGAACGGGUGAGUAAUGUAUCGGAACGUGCCCAGUCGUGGGGGAUAACGUAGUGAAAAUUACGCUAAUACCGCAUACGAUCUAUGGAUGAAAGCGGGGGAUCGCAAGACCUCGCGCGAUUGGAGCGGCCGAUAUCAGAUUAGGUAGUUGGUGGGGUAAAGGCCCACCAAGCCAACGAUCUGUAGCUGGUCUGAGAGGACGACCAGCAACACUGGAACUGAGACACGGGCCAGACUCCUACGGGAGGCAGCAGUGGGGAAUUUUGGACAAUGGGCGAAAGCCUGAUCCAGCCAUUCCGCGUGCAGGAUGAAGGCCCUCGGGUUGUAAACUGCUUUUGUACAGAACGAAAAGGUUUCUACUAAUACUAGGAGCUCAUGACGGUACUGUAAGAAUAAGCACCGACUAACUACGUGCCAGCCGCCGCGGUAA